GACGAACGCUGGCGGCGCGCCUAACACAUGCAAGUCGAACGAGCGAGAGAGAGCUUGCUUUCUUGAGCGAGUGGCGAACGGGUGAGUAACGCGUGAGGAACCUGCCUCAAAGAGGGGGACAACAGUUGGAAACGACUGCUAAUGCCGCAUAAGCCCACGACCCGGCAUCGGGUUGAGGGAAAAGGAGCAAUCCGCUUUGAGAUGGCCUCGCGUCCGAUUAGCUAGUUGGUGAGGUAACGGCCCACCAAGGCGACGAUCGGUAGCCGGACUGAGAGGUUGAACGGCCACAUUGGGACUGAGACACGGCCCAGACUCCUACGGGAGGCAGCAGUGGGGAAUAUUGCACAAUGGGGGAGACCCUGAUGCAGCGACGCCGCGUGGAGGAAGAAGGUCUUCGGAUUGUAAACUCCUGUUGUUGAGGAAGAUAAUGACGGUACUCAACAAGGAAGUGACGGCUAACUACGUG
rnacentral:rRNA from 1 species